UCCGCCCUGGUGUAACGGCAGCACGCCGGCCUUUGGUGCCGGGAGGUCCGGGUUCGAAUCCUGGGGGCGGAGCCC
rnacentral:tRNA from 1 species